rnacentral:rRNA from 1 species
ACUCCUACGGGAGGCAGCAGUGGGGAAUAUUGCACAAUGGGCGCAAGCCUGAUGCAGCCAUGCCGCGUGUGUGAAGAAGGCCUUCGGGUUGUAAAGCACUUUCAGUUGUGAGGAAGGUGGUGUCGUUAAUAGCGGCAUCAUUUGACGUUAGCAACAGAAGAAGCACCGGCUAACUCCGUGCCAGCAGCCGCGGUAAUACGGAGGGUGCGAGCGUUAAUCGGAAUUACUGGGCGUAAAGCGCAUGCAGGUGGUUUGUUAAGUCAGAUGUGAAAGCCCGGGGCUCAACCUCGGAACUGCAUUUGAAACUGGCAGACUAGAGUACUGUAGAGGGGGGUAGAAUUUCAGGUGUAGCGGUGAAAUGCGUAGAGAUCUGAAGGAAUACCGGUGGCGAAGGCGGCCCCCUGGACAGAUACUGACACUCAGAUGCGAAAGCGUGGGGAGCAAACAGGAUUAGAUACCCUGGUAGCACAGAGAGUCGUCCAA